UCCGUAGGCGGGCAGCUCAGUCAGUGGUGAAAGUUUGCAGCUCAACUGUACAAUUGCCAUUGAUACUGGUUGUCUCGAAUUAAUGUGAAGUGGUUAGAAUAUGUAGUGUAGCGGUGAAAUGCAUAGAUAUUACAUGGAAUACCAAUUGCGAAGGCAGAUCACUAACAUUAUAUUGACGCUGAUGGACGAAAGCGUGGGGAGCGAACAGGAUUAGAUACCCUGGUAGUC
rnacentral:rRNA from 1 species